AGUAACACGUGAGCAACCUGCCCUGGACUCUGGGAUAAGCGCUGGAAACGGCGUCUAAUACUGGAUAUGAGACGUGAUCGCAUGGUCGUGUUUGGAAAGAUUUUUCGGUCUGGGAUGGGCUCGCGGCCUAUCAGCUUGUUGGUGAGGUAAUGGCUCACCAAGGCGUCGACGGGUAGCCGGCCUGAGAGGGUGACCGGCCACACUGGGACUGAGACACGGCCCAGACUCCUACGGGAGGCAGCAGUGGGGAAUAUUGCACAAUGGGCGGAAGCCUGAUGCAGCAACGCCGCGUGAGGGAUGACGGCCUUCGGGUUGUAAACCUCUUUUAGCAGGGAAGAAGCGAAAGUGACGGUACCUGCAGAAAAAGCGCCGGCUAACUACGUGCCAGCAGCCGCGGUAAUACGUAGGGCGCAAGCGUUAUCCGGAAUUAUUGGGCGUAAAGAGCUCGUAGGCGGUUUGUCGCGUCUGCUGUGAAAUCCCGAGGCUCAACCUCGGGUCUGCAGUGGGUACGGGCAGACUAGAGUGCGGUAGGGGAGAUUGGAAUUCCUGGUGUAGCGGUGGAAUGCGCAGAUAUCAGGAGGAACACCGAUGGCGAAGGCAGAUCUCUGGGCCGUAACUGACGCUGAGGAGCGAAAGGGUGGGGAGCAAACAGGCUUAGAUACCCUGGUAGUCCACCCCGUAAACGUUGGGAACUAGUUGU
rnacentral:rRNA from 1 species